rnacentral:rRNA from 1 species
GACGAACCGUGCGAACGUUGUUCGGAAUCACUGGGCUUAAAGGGCGCGUAGGCGGGCCGUCGAGUCCGCGGUGAAAUCCCCCGGCCCAACCGGGGAAGUGCUGCGGAGACUGGCGGCCUCGAGCGGUGUAGGGGCACGCGGAACUUCCGGUGGAGCGGUGAAAUGCGUAGAGAUCGGAAGGAACGCCGGCGGCGAAAGCGGCGUGCUGGACACCUCCUGACGCUGAGGCGCGAAAGCCAGGGGAGCAAACGGG